rnacentral:rRNA from 1 species
UGGGGAAUAUUGGACAAUGGGCGAAAGCCUGAUCCAGCCAUGCCGCGUGUGUGAAGAAGGUCUUCGGAUUGUAAAGCACUUUAAGUUGGGAGGAAGGGUAGUAACCUAAUACGUUGCUACUUUGACGUUACCGACAGAAUAAGCACCGGCUAACUUCGUGCCAGCAGCCGCGGUAAUACGAAGGGUGCAAGCGUUAAUCGGAAUUACUGGGCGUAAAGCGCGCGUAGGUGGUUCAGCAAGUUGGAUGUGAAAGCCCUGGGCUCAACCUGGGAACUGCAUCCAAAACUACUGAGCUAGAGUACGGUAGAGGGUAGUGGAAUUUCCUGUGUAGCGGUGAAAUGCGUAGAUAUAGGAAGGAACACCAGUGGCGAAGGCGACUACCUGGACUGAUACUGACACUGAGGUGCGAAAGCGUGGGGAGCAAACAGG